rnacentral:rRNA from 1 species
CCUACGGGAGGCAGCAGUGGGGAAUUUUGGACAAUGGACGAAAGUCUGAUCCAGCAAUGCCGCGUGCAGGACGAAGGCCUUCGGGUUGUAAACUGCUUUUGUACGGAACGAAAAGGUCUGCCUUAAUACGGUGGGCUCAUGACGGUACCGUAAGAAUAAGCACCGGCUAACUACGUGCCAGCAGCCGCGGUAAUACGUAGGGUGCAAGCGUUAAUCGGAAUUACUGGGCGUAAAGCGUGCGCAGGCGGUUAUAUAAGACAGAUGUGAAAUCCCCGGGCUCAACCUGGGACCUGCAUUUGUGACUGUAUAGCUAGAGUACGGUAGAGGGGGAUGGAAUUCCGCGUGUAGCAGUGAAAUGCGUAGAUAUGCGGAGGAACACCGAUGGCGAAGGCAAUCCCCUGGACCUGUACUGACGCUCAUGCACGAAAGCGUGGGGAGCAAACAGGAUUAGAUACCCUGGUAGUCCACGCCCUAAACGAUGUCAACUGGUUGUUGGGUCUUCACUGACUCAGUAACGAAGCUAACGCGUGAAGUUGACCGCCUGGGGAGUCGGCCGCAAGGUUGAAACUCAAAUUAGAGUUGAGNGNGAGAGNGCGACGGACGACGACGAGGGAGGAGG